rnacentral:lncRNA from 1 species
GCAGCUAUGAUGAAUUAUUACAGUAACAUGCAACAGUUUCAAUUUCAUGACUCAGAUCCAUUUAGAGGUGAAUUAAUGGAAGUUCUUGAACCUUUUAUCAAAAGUCCUUCUUCAACUUCAACUUCACCUUCAUCUUCAACACCAUCACCUUCUUAUUCUUCUUCUCUCUCUUCACCUUCUUUCUACACAGAGCAAAACUUCAUAGGCUUUGCUCAACCAUCUUCUUCUUUUUCUUCUCCUUCUCUUCUUGGUCUCAACCACUUGACACCAUCACAAAUCAACCAAAUCCAAGUACAAAUCCAACAACAAAACUUCACCAUGCAA